AAUAUUGCGCAAUGGAGGGAACUCUGACGCAGCGACGCCGCGUGAGCGAUGAAGGNUUNNGGAUCNUNAAGCUCUGUCCUUGGNNNNNAAGAGCGCCGUUAAGCGCCUUUGACGGUACCCAAGGAGGAAGCCCCGGCUAACUACGUGCCAGCAGCCGCGGUAAUACGUAGGGGCAAGCGUUGUCCGGAAUUAUUGGGCGUAAAGGGUGCGUAGGCGGCCUUUUAAGUCAGAUGUGAAAGGCUACGGCUUAACCGUAGUUAGCAUUUGAAACUAAAAGGCUUGAGUGCAGGAGAGGAGAGUGGAAUUCCUAGUGUAGCGGUGAAAUGCGUAGAUAUUAGGAGGAACACCAGUGGCGAAGGCGACUCUCUGGACUGCAACUGACGCUGAGGCACGAAAGCGUGGGGAGCGAAC
rnacentral:rRNA from 1 species